rnacentral:misc_RNA from 1 species
GAUGAAGAACGUAGCGAAAUGCGAUAAGUAAUGUGAAUUGCAGAAUUCCGUGAAUCAUCGAAUCUUUGAACGCACAUUGCGCCCCCUGGUAUUCCGGGGGGCAUGCCUGUCCGAGCGUCAUUGCAACCUUCAAGCGCGGCUUGUGUGUUGGGUCUCGUCCCCCGUGGACGGGCCCGAAAGGCAGUGGCGGCGUCCCGACAUGGUGCCCGAGCGUAUGGGAAUCCUCUUCCGCUCGAAUCGGCCCAUGCGGCGCUGGUCGUAACAAAAUUUUUUACCGGUUGACCUCGGAUCAGGUAGGGAUACCCGCUGAACUUAAGCAUAUCAAUAAGCGGAGGA